GGCAGUGUAGCAUAGUGGUUAAGGAGUCAGACUUGUAACUGCAGGGUUGCUGGUUCAAUUCCAGCCAGGGUGCUG